ACACACACACACACACACACUACACGACGCCACCCGUGUGCGCAUGUUCCGCUCUUGGCUGCGGUUCUACAGGAGUUAAAUAUGAAAUCUUGACACGACGCUGUACAGAGACUCCGUUUUGCCAAAGUGCGACACUGAGCGCUCUGGAUAAUUAAAGGAAUAAAAAAAAAGAUAAGAAAAUAAUCAGCAAUGGAAAUCAGUCCAGGAGGAACCAGGAUGAAGUUUCUCCCUGAUCUGACUGGAAUCAUGACCUGGGUUCCCUCAGCUCUAAAGCACCAAGUCCACAGGAAGGAGAAUGCUAACUCCUAGUCAACUGUGUUUGUGUGGAAAGAAGGAGGAGAUGACACCACCUCCACCUCCACCACCUCCAUCACCAUCACUGAGGGGAAAGCUGAGCUCUUGCUGAGAUGGUGACCCCUGACCCUUCUUUAGAGAACUGACAGGAGUGCCCCUGAACUCUCACCCAGGAGACAAACUAGCAAUGAAGCGUGACCUGUUGUUGGGGCGUGGACUCUGCAUUUACACGGCUGGCAUUCUGGGCAUUCCACGCGUCGCUCCUGUCGUAUAGAGACCCUGAAAGCAUACUUACAGGAGAUCCUGAGCAUCUGUAGACCUUUACUCAGCGUACUCAGAGAGUAAAUCCACCUGUAUUUUAAACAGUUCUUUCUAAAAUUCAUAAUUUUGUAGUAAAAUCAGCAGAUAUGAAACUAUUUUCCCCUGUUAUUAUUAAAGACAUGACUUUCUGGACA